UGAUGGAGGGGGAUAACUACUGGAAACGGUAGCUAAUACCGCAUAACGUCGCAAGACCAAAGAGGGGGACCUUCGGGCCUCUUGCCAUCGGAUGUGCCCAGAUGGGAUUAGCUAGUAGGUGGGGUAACGGCUCACCUAGGCGACGAUCCCUAGCUGGUCUGAGAGGAUGACCAGCCACACUGGAACUGAGACACGGUCCAGACUCCUACGGGAGGCAGCAGUGGGGAAUAUUGCACAAUGGGCGCAAGCCUGAUGCAGCCAUGCCGCGUGUAUGAAGAAGGCCUUCGGGUUGUAAAGUACUUUCAGCGGGGAGGAAGGCGAUAAGGUUAAUAACCUUGUCGAUUGACGUUACCCGCAGAAGAAGCACCGGCUAACUCCGUGCCAGCAGCCGCGGUAAUACGGGAGGGUGCAAGCGUUAAUCGGGAAUUACUGGGCGUAAAAGCGCACGCAGGCGGUCUGUCAAGUCGGAUGUGAAAUCCCCGGGCUCAACCUGGGGAACUGCAUUCGAAACUGGCAGGCUAGAGUCUUGUAGAGGGGGGUAGAAUUCCAGGUGUAGCGGUGAAUGCGUAGAGAUCUGGAGGAAUACCGGUGGCGAAGGCG
rnacentral:rRNA from 1 species